AUGCCGGCCGAUUCACUUGGUGAUGUAUGCAGCGCUAGAACAAAAAAAAUCUUAGAAAUGGAAGAAUUCUGGGGCUGGGCAUUACGGAGCAAAGCACUGACUAGGAGAACGGCGCUAAUCUCCAAGCACCCCAGCGGGAGCAGGGCAGCUCGCGUUGGUGACCACGUCGGGGAGCGCAAGUGCCUGGGGUGGUCGUCAUCCCCGCGGCAGUCGUCGAAGUGUAGCCCCACGCCAGGGAGCAGCAGAUGCGUGGACAUGGUCGUCGCCGUCGCGAGCGCCGUCGACGCAGCCCCGUGUCAGGUGGAGCGGCAGAAACCUGGAGGUGGUUGUCGUCGACGCGCAACCUCCCUACCGCGGCUACGGCCUCCCCGGCGGCUAAAUCCGGCAACGAGAAGACGACCCCCGCCACGGUCUCAAGGCCUUGGCGCCGGCCUCCGGUGGAUCCCACAGCCGCCGCUUCAUCUGGAUGCGCGUGGGAAGCCGAAGACCCCGCCAGCCGUCGCCGGGGUGGUGGGGAGGCGCGUCGCCGGGGCAGGUGCCGGGCACGGGAGCUCCAUGGAGGGGAAGUGGUGUGGUGGCUUGCUCGUGAGUGUCAUGGAUGACACACAGUAUGGGGGACCAAGGCGGCGACGUACCGCACGACACGCAGCUCCUGCUGGUGGAGUCCAAGGCCGGGUUCAGGCCUGCGACGAGGUCGUGUUCCUCACGCUGCGUUCUGGGCCAGCCUCAAGGGCGGCGGCGCUGGCGGCGACGAGCUUCAGCUCUGCAUCUAGAGCGGCGACAUCGACACGCGCGCCAGUUCAGUUCAGUGUUAAUCUCGGUCACCGAUGGUUGAGACUAUACAAAAGGAUCAGCAAAGGAGGACUCAAGUUUGCAACCACCACAGAGAUAAGGCUAUGGAACAUUAGUGCGUGGCUGUUCUGUGCAAUUUUUCUCACAUCAAGUGUUGUAAGAUUGGAGUGUGUUGAGUAUGCAAUCUUGAUUCCAGGAAAAAAAGAUUAUGCAGUCUAUCGCACAUGUUUGGUUUGGAGGGGGCCUGUAGAUGAUGCUCACUUUGUUCACUUCCACAGCACCAUUUCAUUUUUUGACAGUGGGUUAGACAAGUGUGGUUUUCAGUUUCAGUGCUUUAUCUGCUCGUGGAGCUAUGGCUGUUGCAUUGGGCUAAGAUUUGAUUGCUUGCAGUAUGUCAAGACUUUGGGCCCACUGAACAUUAGAAGCUGCAUGGAGGAUGAGAUCAUCUAUGCCAGUGAUGGGAAGCGCACUGUGAUUAUAAUUUUGUUACUCAUGCAUAGAGCAUUUGCAUCUGAAAGCCACAGCUCCAAGAAUACGCGGAGGAGGUGGCCCGGGUCGGCGUCGGUGCCGUCCGGCACGGGCCACGGGCCCGCUUCCAAGCGCGUCUGCGCGUCGGCCACCCAUGCCGUGUCCUUCAAGUGCCACUUCCACCGCACCAACUCCCAGGGUCACGGCCAUGGCCAGGGCCAGGGAAGCUGCCCUUCUUUGCCCCCUUCACCGGCCGCGGCCAAUGCGGUGCCGCGGCACCCGGCCUCGCCGUCCUCGUCCUCCAGCACCGUCGCGACCCAGUGA
rnacentral:rRNA from 1 species